GGCCUGAAGUUUUGGAAACACUGGACCUUGAAUGUCUAUUAGGGGUGUUCAACUCACCCUCAAGCUC
rnacentral:tRNA from 1 species